GGUGGACAUGAUGCCACUUAGGUGACAGGGCCAGGAGAGGAGUCACACUUCAGGCCAUGGAAGGCUGUGUAUAUUGUUCAAAGAGGCUUAAACUUGAUAGUACAGGUCAAGGAUUCUUAGAAACUGGCCUCUAGAGUCCAGUGUCCUCUCCCCUGAAGUUUAAAAUUUGAUGCCCGUGGGCCAGAAGAGAGCAAGUGAGAGGAGAGGAAGAAGAAGCACAAGCCACAAAGUCACCUGCAUGCCCAGUGUAUAUUGAACCCAGUUUCCAAGGGGAAAAGUGCUGCACAACCAAUGUCAGAGCGGGGGGAGUUUUCUUCAAGACCAACAGCUUUAAAACCAAGCUCCACUUCAGAGUGGAUUUUACCACUGGGGUCUGUAAUGGAAAUGCUGACAUAAUCUUAAUUAUGAGAGAGAAUUUCUCUCGGAUGGAAAUGCGGUGACCCAGAAGACUCCAUUUGCAAGUCCUCCUGACCUGUAAGAGGAGAUGCCUGGUGGAAUAUUUUGGGUAAUAUAUUAUGCAUCUACUUAUCCUAUGAUCCCCAUCUGUGGGCUUAGCAAGGCAGUAUUUUGAAGAAAGGGAGAAAAAAAUAUGAACACCAGGCUUGAGAACACUCGCCUGGAUCAGAGACCAGGGUGAGCUUUCUACUCUGCAGUGUUUUGCAUUUCAUAUGAAGUGAAAUCUAUUUCAGGUGCUGCUGAAAAUGCAGGAAAAGUACCAGUGACUGGAGUCCUAGGAAUUAAACUGGCCUCAGUUCAGAGACACAGAGUGGUCUCACACCAUCAUUCCUGCAUAUUCAUAAUUCGCCAAUGUGAAGAGGUCUUUGUUACUCAAAAAAAAAAAAAAAAAAAAAAGGAGGAAUGAAGAAGAAGAAAAAGAGAGUAAGGGGGGGAAAGUUCCUCGGAAAGUGUCCUCUCAUACAAAUUGAGGGGUUCCCUUCACCCCAGCCCCAGGAGGUACCUGUGUGUUGCCCACAUCUGUCCUUUAGCAUUUGACUUUAUGUGAGGGCUGCCAGUUACUGCCUUGCUGACGUGGUGAUGGUGUGGGUUCAAGGUUGAAUCAAUUACGUAGAAAGCCAAGUUGCUUCCCUGGAGAGUGGGGAGUAUUUCGGUCUUUGGCUCUUGGCUAGGAUAACCGGGCAGAUCCCUAAGCAGGCAUGGGUAGC
rnacentral:lncRNA from 12 species